CUUGCUAUGAACUCCUGAUAUGUUAUGAUUCAUACUUUCACUUCUGUUUCUUAAUACUAUCAUUUUGAAAAAGUGAAAAUGAAACUGUUUCAUUGGUGAACAGUUCACAAGGGAGAAGAAAAGUCCUUCUGCCUCACCAUCCUAGAGCACUGGGAUUACAAGAAUGCACCGUCAUGGCUGGAUACACACAGUAACACCUGUGAAGCUUUAGUUCUCUAAUUAGGUCUCUGGAAUUGAGAGGUACGAUGAGGCCUGGAAGACUUCAGCAGUAAUGUGGGGUUCCUGUUGACUAAUUCUGUGAUCCCCUCCCUCACAGUCUGACAAUGAGGUAGGAUGCUGCCCCAAAGGCUGUGCCUACAGUUGGGCAUUCACACCCUGCUUGGCGAAGUGGCUAAAAGACAUUCCCUCAUUGACUGAGAGAGGAAUCCCGCGGGCUAGGUCCACGCGCUAUGUGCUGGAACUUUUGCUGGUGAGAGAUGAAGAUGUGAUUGCAGUGUCUGGCUGUGUGAUGAACACCAGAAUGACUCAUGGAGAGAGGGUGUUAACAAGGCUCUGGAUCAAGUGUCACUCACUGUAAUUUUUCACACACGAUGCUCUUGGAAAGUCCCCUGCAUGGAGGAAAGACACAUUGAUGUCUUUCAAAAGUGCACCGGUAUAGUUACUGUAUUUUUGUUUUCAAAAAUCCCAAGAAUCCCUGAAAUACUGUCUUGCCCACUCAAGAUAUUGUUUACUUUCCCUCUUGGAAAUGUUCAGUGGGUUCUACUGCAUGUUGAAUUUCAGUGAGGCUUAAACCUGUGUCAACUGUUUAAUUGCUUCUCUCAGCUUGGAUAAGUAUAUGUCUCAGCUACCCAAGCUUAGCUUCUCUACCAAAAUUUGUCAGUUUAUGUUUUAAACAUUACUUUGGAAAUUAGAACGGCUUGGAGAACUUAAGUUUUUCCAUGAUAAAGGUAAUCACUUUUCAAUAUAAUAAAGUUGCAAGAGUAAAAAAGAAAACAAAAUCAUUUGUAUUUUCCUCAACCAAACUUGCCCCAUUCCUUUUGGAGUUGGAUUUUACUGUAUAUUUAUAACUGUCUUAGAUGUUAUGCAUAUUUAUUGUUGAUCAUUUUAUAAAUGAAGAAAAUUAUAUAUUAGUAGUAUAUUAGUAACUUUCCCGUUGUUGGCACAAAAUACCUGACACCCACAGUUUAAAGGAGAGCUUUAUUUUGGUUUAGGGUUUUAGAAAGUUCACUCCCUGGUUGGCUGGCUUCAAGGCAGAAACAUACUGGUGGAAGUGCAUGGUGGAGGAAAGCCACUCAUCCGUGGCACCCAGGAAGCAUAGAACAAAGGGAAGAUUGGGGACAAGAAUACACCCUUCCAGGUUAGGCCUCCAGUGACACAUUGAUGAGUUUACCCCUCCCUGCCAUGAUCUCAUCAGCUUCCAAAAGCCCUACCCUUGAACACAUUGGGAGUGUUGUGGACAUUUGAGAUCUCAACCAGAACAAGCAAGAAAAAUAUGCACCACUAAUGUUAACAUAGGUGAUCCUUGAUUUAGGAUGAGGUUAUGUGCCAGAAAUCUAUCAAUAGGCAGAAGUACAUUGAAUGCUCAUAACUCAGCCACACAGUAGAUUGAAGAGUAUGGGUUGUUUCCCCUCAUCAACACACCGCUGACUGGGAGCUGCAGCUUGCAGUGCUGCACAGCAUCUGGAGAGAACAUCUGUUACUUAUCACUAGCAUAAGAAAAGAUCAAAAUUUAAAUUCAAAAUUCAGAGUGCAGUUUCUACUAUGUAUGGCUUUGGCACUACUGUAAAGUCUAAAAGUCUUAAGCUGAACAAUUGCAAGUAAAGGAUCAUCUGUAUUUUGGUCUAUUUCCUUACUAACUGUCAUGUGAAAAGAAUAAUUCAAUGACACUUGUUAAAGUGUGGUAAGGAAGACUUUAUUCUGGAUCAUUGCCAUAUGUGUAAGGACCUGCAGUGAGGACAAUGGGAUUUGGCUGCGGGGGAGAGAGAUUGGGCUCAACUUCAAAUAUACCAUGGGCAAGUGAAUAUUAACAACCAAGGAACAAGGUAGAUGCUGGUGGGUGGAAAAACUUCUCAAAGGUACCAUCAAGAGUAAGGAGAUUCUGGAUACCUGAACUAAUAGGGUUUUUGCUGAAGACAGGGCAGGGUGAUUCGAUGUCACGUGGGGUUGGAGGAAGGUGAACCUGACCAAAUGUUGAGGGUGAAAGAUUUUUACUAACAUGAUUUAGCAAGGUUCUUGCUAAAUCUGGAUUUUACAAAACAAUGCAAGAUGGGCCUGGGGGAAUGUUCAGGAGCCUGAAUGAAGUUUGAUCAAGUAAAAAAUCUCUGUCACGAGCAAGGUCCAUCUGCACACUUAGGAUGAAAAAUUUGCUGAAUAAAAAUGUUUAUAAUAUUACUUAUAGAAACAGAAUGAAGUAGAAUAUUUUAUGGAUCUAUUCAAAUUUUUAAGAACAAUUUCUCCAAAGAAUUUCUAAUAUGUUAUUUUCUGAAAAAAUAAAGUGUAUGGACCAAUUUUGAGUAGUCUGCAUCACAGAGUGACUUCUGCAUAAUCUGUUUCUGCUUUUUUCCUUUCGAAGGCUUUGGUCCUUCACAAACAUCUCCAUGAGGUACUCAGAGAACACCUGAAAAACUUGUAUUUUAUUCUGAUUUUUUCUCUAAAUUCUUACAAAUAGAGUUUUCUUGGAAAAUGAAUACAGGCUUACAUAUAAUAAUGGCAACUUGUGUUGUUUUAGUCUUUUUUACACUUCUUAUUGGUUUUAUUUUUUCCAUUAAACUCUCUACCAUAUUUAUGAGAAAUAUUUCAAAACACAAAUUAUAGUAUUUUUUCAUCUAAUGAAGAGUAGUGACUAACCACUAAGGGAAAGGCACAUACAUACUAGAUGCAUUUUUUUGUGGUUGCUCAGAAAUGAGACUACAAGUGAAAUGUGUUUCUAUUAUUUGUUAUUAAGCAUAUUGGAAAACUUCAGGCAUCUCUUUGGAGUACAGGGUUUGAGUUCAGAAUCCAGAGAUCCUGCUAAGUGCAUUAUUUAGCACACCUGGGAUAGGAUGAGGUAACAAAAAUCCUAUCUUCUCAUUGUGCUUUGGCAGGAUCACAGAUAUAAUAAAUUUUAAAUUAUUAUCCUUUAGCUAGAAAGUGUUUAACUUUUCAAAUAACUGCACUUAUUAAUAAAAAGAUAAAAAGCAUGAUUUUCGUAGGUUUUCUCUGGCCAUGAUUAAUGGACACAAAAUCAUUUAGUGUUUUAAUUACACAGGGAAAUCACAAAUGAUGAUUAAUUGAUGUAAUUUUCUACAUGAUUAAUAAAACAUUGAAUUUACUAUUAACAUAUGGCUUGGGAUGUGAUUUUCCCCCUUUCCCAUCUGUCUUUUCUUUUUUCCUCUUUUCUUUCUUGGUUUUUUCUUCCUUAGUUUUCUUCUCACUUUCCUCUUUUCACCUCCUUUCCUUGUUCUAUCUCUUCCUUCUUCCUUCCCCUUCUCUCUACUUCCCUUCUGUCUCCCUUCCCUCUUUCCCUUCCCUUCUUUCUUUCCUCUCUCCUUUUCUAUGUCCUUCUGUCCUUUUGUUCUUCUUCCCCUCCUUUAUUUUGUUUUAAAAAAUAUUAAAGAGGACCUUUACGGUACAAUAAUCAUUGUGCUCUAGGAUAGGGUUUUGUUACAUUAUUGAGAAGAACUUGGACAUUCUGAAUUACUAUUUUAUCUAUUAUAUGCAGCCCAGAUUAAAUGAG
ensembl:lncRNA